rnacentral:rRNA from 1 species
CAGUCUUACCUGCGGACAAUCAGCUUUUGAGUGUGAUUCUGUGGAGCGUGAGGAGUUAAACGCCUUCAUGCCUGCAUAUUCGUGUACUUUGGGUGUACUUGCCUGUGUGGUUAGUUAACAUC